UUUCUGUGGGGAAAAAAAAGCAGCAAGCUCAAGCGGCCAACAAGUCUUUACAGCAUCCCCAUUCCCCAACACCUCCGAUCUAGUAUCCCUCAAAGCUUCCAUGGAGAAGGCGCCAGGCACGAGCAUCGAGGCUAUCAUCCGACGGCUUAGGCUCCACCAGGCGCCUCCCUCCCCUUACUCCGGCGAUCCCUCAACAGCGGCGACCCCCGCCGCAGCCAACCUGUUUCAGCCGCGGAGAGCCGCCGUACUGGUCUGCCUCUUCCACGACGCUGCCGGCGAGCUGCGUGUCCUCCUUACCAAGCGCGCUUCCUCCCUCUCCACCCACUCCGGGGAGGUUGCAUUGCCCGGAGGAAAGGCAGAGGAGGGUGAUGCUGAUGAUGCAGCAACGGCAUUAAGGGAGGCAAAGGAGGAGAUUGGGCUUGAUCCAGCCUUGGUCACUGUCGUCUCCUCGCUUGAGCACUUCUUGUCCAAGCAUCUUCUGGUAGUUGUUCCUGUUGUUGGCAUACUCUCAGAUAUACAGGCUUUCAAACCUGUCCUUAAUGUUGAUGAGGUGGACGACAUUUUUGAUGUACCCCUAGAGAUGUUCCUCAAGGAUGAGCGCAGGAGAUCCGAGGAGCGAGAAUGGAUGGGGCAGGCGUUCACACUUCACCACUUCGAUUAUGAGAAAGGCGACAAGACGUAUGUAAUCUGGGGGCUGACUGCUGGCAUCCUGAUUCACGCGGCUUCAGUUGUAUACCAGCGGCCACCAGACUUUGCUGAGCGAAGGGUACAAUUCAACCUGCCGAAGUACUCACAGGAGUCUUCUCCAAUGCCAUGAUCAGGAUUAGGAUGCGCACUCAGUUACAUGCCUGAUUCAGCACACAGAAGACUACAUACACCAAAAGAAAUGCUGCGACGAUGAUCAUGCAGGCCGGGCCGCAUCAAGCAAUGGAUUACGAUGCAUUCGAUGGUGUGCAGCUUGCCACACACAGCGACUAAAAAUCAAACGUUCGACAAACAUAUUUGUAUUCUAUUCUUUGCAUAAUAAUACAUUGCAAGAACAUUAACAUUCAGAAAAUUAUUUGGUGCUAA